GAUGAAGAACGUAGCGAAAUGCGAUAAGUAAUGUGAAUUGCAGAAUUCAGUGAAUCAUCGAAUAUUUGAACGCACAUUGCGCCCGCCAGUAUUCUGGCGGGCAUGCCUGUCUGAGCGUCAUUUCAACCCUCAUGCCCCUAGGGCGUGGUGUUGGGGAUCGGCCAAAGCCCGCAAGGGACGGCCGGCCCCUAAAUCUAGUGGCGGACCCGUCGUGGCCUCCCCUGCGAAGUAGUGAUAUUCGGCAUAGGAGAAGCGACGAGCCCCUGCCGUUAAACCCCCAACUUUCUCAGGUUGACCUCAGAUCAGGUAGGAAUACCCGCUGAACUUAAGCAUAUCAAUAAGCGGAGGA
rnacentral:misc_RNA from 1 species